rnacentral:rRNA from 1 species
AUUGAACGCUGGCGGCAGGCCUAACACAUGCAAGUCGAGCGGAUGAAGGGGGCUUGCUCCUGGAUUCAGCGGCGGACGGGUGAGUAAUGCCUAGGAAUCUGCCUGGUAGUGGGGGAUAACGUCCGGAAACGGGCGCUAAUACCGCAUACGUCCUGAGGGAGAAAGUGGGGGAUCUUCGGACCUCACGCUACCAGAUGAGCCUAGGUCGGAUUAGCUAGUUGGUGGGGUAAAGGCCUACCAAGGCGACGAUCCGUAACUGGUCUGAGAGGAUGAUCAGUCACACUGGAACUGAGACACGGUCCAGACUCCUACGGGAGGCAGCAGUGGGGAAUAUUGGACAAUGGGCGAGAGCCUGAUCCAGCCAUGCCGCGUGUGUGAAGAAGGUCUUCGGAUUGUAAAGCACUUUAAGUUGGGAGGAAGGGCAGUAAGUUAAUACCUUGCUGUUUUGACGUUACCAACAGAAUAAGCACCGGCUAACUUCGUG